GAUGAACGCUGGCGGCGUGCCUAAUACAUGCAAGUCGAGCGAACAGACGAGGAGCUUGCUCCUCUGACGUUAGCGGCGGACGGGUGAGUAACACGUGGAUAACCUACCUAUAAGACUGGGAUAACUUCGAGAAACCGGAGCUAAUACCGGAUAAUAUAUUGAACCGCAUGGUUCAAUAGUGAAAGACGGUUUUGCUGUCACUUAUAGAUGGAUCCGCGCCGCAUUAGCUAGUUGGUAAGGUAACGGCUUACCAAGGCAACGAUGCGUAGCCGACCUGAGAGGGUGAUCGGCCACACUGGAACUGAGACACGGUCCAGACUCCGACGGGAGGCAGCAGUAGAGAAUCUUCCGCAAUGGGCGAAAGCCUGACGGAGCAACGCCGCGUGAGUGAUGAAGGUCUUCGGAUCGUAAAACUCUGUUAUUAGGGAAGAACAAAUGUGUAAGUAACUAUGCACGUCUUGACGGUACCUAAUCAGAAAGCCACGGCUAACUACGUG
rnacentral:rRNA from 1 species